rnacentral:rRNA from 1 species
UACAGAGGUGGCAAGCGUUGUUCGGAAUUACUGGGCGUAAAGGGCGCGUAGGCGGUCCGAUAAGUCCCGUGUGAAAGCCCCCGGCUCAACUGGGGAACUGCACGGGAAACUGACGGACUUGAGUUCGGGAGAGGGAAGCGGAAUUCCGGGUGUAGCGGUGAAAUGCGUAGAUAUCCGGAGGAACACCGGUGGCGAAGGCGGCCCCCUGGUUGGAUACUGACGCUGAGACGCGAAAGCGUGGGGAGCAAACAGG